ACCUUUUGAACACAUUUCAGGGGUGGUGUUGCGGACGGGGGGGGUAACCUAACCGUAGGCUGGUGGAUGCCGUCUACAGGUAUUUGGUUGGUUAGCCCCUGGACAGGUGUUUAGUUAUCUUCGUGUGCUGGGCUGCCACUCUGUUUGCCCCGGACGCGUCUGUAUUUCACGAAGGUGUGUUUUCGGGAGCUCUUAACGGCAGCAACACCAUUUUUCUUUUUUAUUUAGUAUUCUUUUUUAUUUUCCCCACCACAGCACUUUGGCUCCUUGGGACGGCCCUUCUGAAAUAAGGCCGCGCGUGAUUCAUGUGUGCCCGUGUGCAGAGUGUACGUUUAUGACAUUUGACAACGGGACAACAAAGGGUCCCGCCGUCCCGAAUAUAACUUUGUAUCCAAGACCGUGUGUAUGUGUUUUUUAUAUGGGUUCAUCCAUAAUGUGGCCCCACAAGCCUGUUGCUUUGAAAGUUCCCUCUUCUUUGUUAGAGAUAUAUAUAGUAUAUAUACUUUUUUUUUUUUGGUAAUGCUAGGGUUAAUACAUUUGCCUCUGUUGGAAGGCAACGGGGAAACAAACAAGGCCCACUGAGCUUAUUUUUAUUUUUUUUACUUUGAUGAAAGAAUGUGUUUCUCUCUCUCUCUCUCGCUAUCCCCCUGACACCAUUUCACUUUCUCGGUUGCUGUCUCGCUGUCCACAUUGUUUUGGACUCUUUGAGUCGCCUUCGGACCAUCUGUUUCAAGGAAGGCUCAUCGAGGUGGGCCGAGAGGGAUUUGGGCGCAAGGGGAGUGACAUAUUUAUUCCCCAUGACAGCUGCCCCCAAGUUCACCGUAGUCUGUGGGACAGCCGCAUGCCUCUCGUUUUAACCCCUCUUCCCUUCGCCCCGUUUCGUUAAAAUCCCCCCAAAUCAUUUCCUAAUCAUGAUGGGCAUUACUAAAUGCAUUUCGCUGGUUUCCACCGUCGCCAUUGCCAGUCAUGGGCUUUCGCGCUGGUGUAGUGGGUCGGGCUUAAGAAUGGUAUUUGUGGAUUAUUUUGGGACGGGUUGGAACAAGCGACUUGGACAGACGGAUAACUAAAACCUGGAGGGGUUGACCGUUGCAGGACGGCCCCCAGCCUCUCCCCCGACCCCCGACCCGUGUGUGGACCCCCACAGUAGGAUAGGUCUUGUGGGAAGGUCGAUCGCUGUAACGGUUGGCUCUGGGCAGGUUUCCAUAUGGGCUUUGGGUUUGUUGUCGGAGGUGCUAUGACUUGUUCUGCCAGUAGAGGGCAGCCCUGUGCAUGCUUUUCCUAUUGUAUUAAAUCAGAGGAAUAAUGCCAAAUGUGUGUGUGUGUGUGUGUGUGUGUGUGUGUGUGUGUGUGUGUGUGUGUGUGUGUGUGUGUGUGUGUGUGUGUGUGUGUGUGUGUGUGUGUGUGUGUGUGUGUGUGUGUGUGUGUGUCGGGCUGGGUGUGUUUUGAAAGCAAUAGUGUGAAAGACUUGCAUUGAUCAUUAGAUGUUACAUUGUGGUGAUUAUAAUGUUGUAUACUAUGAGAGGGUGAUUUUGGGGUUGGAUUGUCAAUCAAAACAAAGAGACGGUCUAAAUCCCCCGUACCAUACUUGGAGGUUUCAGAUCUCAGCGCCCUCUAAAGCUGUGGUAGAAUACCUCUGUUUUUUUGUACCAAUGCUAACUAUACAAGCGCCCUGUGUAAACUCACUCUCUCCAACCAACCAAGGUUUCCUUUCACUGAGGAAACAAAACCUUUCAUUGCUGCCCUAUGCUUUUGUGACCAGUAUUCAAAUAAAAUGGAGGGGGGGGGGUUGCUGAGUCCCUCACAGAGACAAUUCCCCGAAGAUAUGGACAAUCUGCCCCCUCGCUGGUUCGGAAACAAAUUGAGGGUUAUUUAUUAAAUUGUAAAUAUGUAAUGCAAUUUGAAAAACAAACAUGCUCGGUCCUUGUCUGUUCUAAUAUACGGUUUCUAAGCUCCGAUCUUUUGUAUGUCUCAGAAGUUGUUUUUAUAUGUAUUUUUUACAAUAAAUAUAUUGUGUCACGCUUGUUUUCGAGUCUGCUUUGUGUAAAACAAUCAUG
ensembl:lncRNA